UACGUAGGGGGCAAGCGUUGUCCGGAAUCAUUGGGCGUAAAGAGCGUGUAGGCGGCUCGGUAAGUCCGCUGUAAAAGUCCAGGGCUCAACCCUGGAAAGCCGGUGGAAACUGUCGAGCUAGAGUCCGGAAGAGGCGAGUGGAAUUCCUGGUGUAGCGGUGAAAUGCGCAGAUAUCAGGAGGAACACCGGUGGCGAAAGCGGCUCACUGGACCACAACUGACGCUGAGGCGCGAAAGCUAGGGGAGCAAACAGG
rnacentral:rRNA from 1 species